UCCGCCUGCGCCGCCGGGGCUCUUACCUCUCGGAUACCGGGCUGGCUGGCCUCUAGCGCAUUUGGGGACUUUUUGGAGACGACAAGUACCAACAGAGUUGGGUCCACCAGAAGACACCUGCCUGUGAAGAGUACAUGGUGUUCUUGUCCGCGGUACUGCAGGAGAGUGGAGUGGCCGUGGAUUCCCAGGACUAGGAGACAAGGACAUGGGAAGGACGCCUGGGGGAUUGGAAAGGGGCCCGAGCUCGGGUACCGGGGCUCCUGAAAUGGGCUUCCGCUGUCCGCUCGGUCACUGCCCUCAAGCCACCUUCCUCCUUCCCUUAUGUGCAUCGUGCUGGCUCAGCGCUUCGAGGAGAGGGACAGGUGGGCGCCACGCUGCAUGGCCGCCCUGCGUUUGGGACCCUUUCCUGCUCCGCAGCGCUGACGCCGCUGGACUGUUCAGGCGCCCGCUAGUGUCGGCGCUUACCCGCCGCGCCCAGCGCAGGUGCUUCACGUCGCAGGCGGCCAGCGAGUGGUUGACGACUGUGUCCACCUGCGCUGCUGAGGCUGCUCCCUUCCUCAUGUGAUCGCCAGAAUCGUCCCCGCUCCUUCCCACUGGGCUUUUACUGAGGUCCAGCUGACCUCCAUUUGCAGGGGUUCACCCAGGCAGGUCUUUUUGACAUAGCUUCAUUCCAAAAGCUGAGGGGUGCGGUGAAGAGGAAAUUAUUGGGGAAGUGACUCGGUCUUUUUUUUUUUUUUAAGUUAAAUGUUUGAUUUGGGGAACAGGGUUCAGAGGAUGAGUUUCAGGAAGUCCAUAAAUUAUCUGAAACUGCAUGUACAUUUUUCCGGGCAGAGCUUUCCUGGUUCUCAAAGAAGAUUCAUGACUUAACAGCAUUAAGAACCUGGCAUCCGCCAGGAGUCAGAACACUUGUAAAAAUUUAAUGGUAAACAAUCAGCAGCACCCGCCGCCACCCUGAAAUUUCAGUAAUAAGGUGAUUUUUUGUUAAAGGCCAUACAAAUGGUCCGGAAUAUUUUAAGUUGCUAAUCAUGAAGAAAAACGUGUAUACCAACACACGCACAAUAGAUAACACUUGUCCUGUUAUUUAAGAUGAAGGAUCUCACCAAGCAAAGCAGAUCAAGGACACAGAAUGUACACUGUAUGCAAAACCAGAAGCUAACAAGCAUGUGGGGGUAUUUAGUAUUUGCACAAAUCAUCAUUACCAGUCACGACUGUGGUCAGAUGCUGACUCCCAAGUAAGUCGAAGAGGGAGGCAAACAGAAGGAAAAGAGAAAUCUUCCUGAGAUAUCUGGGUAAGACAUGAAGAGGACAGAGAAUUGAGGUUAAGGAUUUGCGUAUAUGUACCUAAUAAGAUACAAGUGAUUUCAUUCACCAGAAAUCUGGGGCGGGGCGGGGAAUAUGUAUCUAUAUAUGGUAGACUUUUCUGGGAAUGAGACGUGAGACCUCCCCCUUAAGAACAUGGUCAGGUACAACAGGUCACUAAAUUGCCUCCUAAUGUUCAAAUGAAUGAAUGGUGAACUAGAGGAAGUUUUGCUGAGCAGGAAUGGGUUUAAGAGGGUAAUUGAGCUAGGGCCAGGGGAGGCGAGGUGAUGGAUUGGAUAUCUAGUAGGCAAAAAGAAGUUGAGGUGACUGAGCCUUGAGAGGGGAGGACAAGAGGAAAACCUUCAUUGGUUUGGCCAGUAAGGUACUUCUGAGAACAAAAUGUCUAAUAGGAUGCACAAUGUGAACUCUUCUCCUUUGCUUACACACUAUCUUCAGUGAAGUCCAUAUUGCUCAGGGGUGUUUGUGUGCAUAGAUUGUUUAGGAGAAGCUUGAAGGGGUGCCAAAUUCUCUGUCAGGGCUGACAAGAGGUAAAUGUGGAAAUAAAAUAUGCAAACACGGGAAUCAGGCAUGGAAGGGAUAGGUGAGAUCCAGGUUUCAUGUGAGAAAGAUACGGUCUGGGCACAAUUCAAUUUGUGCUCCAGCAAUGAAAAAGGAAUAAGACGGCGCACUUCACUUGUAAUCAACCUAAGGGAAGAAGUAAAUCAAACAACUUCCCUUACUAAGAGUGUGACUGCUAGAGGCAGAGGUAUCUGGAAGGAUGUGGAAACUCUGCAAUCAUCUAUUUGUACAACCCUUUUCUCAAGCCAAGGAUAUAAACCUGGGAAGACACCUAUAUUGGAGUACAGAAUAAACCCAUUUGGUGAAUUUUUU
rnacentral:lncRNA from 1 species